UCCUGUUGCUUGCUCCAGAGAACACAGCAGAAGUGAAGGUCUCCCAUUCAGAACUGGGGAAAAGGGAAACACAGUGGCUCGCUGUUCCUCCUUCUUCAUUGGAAAGGAAGCUCUAGCAAGCUGGAAGACCAAGUGGGAACAGAGACCUCCUCCAUUGCAGUCCAAAGGAGCGCCUGGAUCACACUUGUCUGGACGUUGAAGCCCGCUGGAGCACUAGGACAGCCAUGGUGAGCCAGCAGGAGGGGACUGCGCAAGUUGCUGAAAGAGAUUCGUUAAAACCUCGACCGUGGUUACAAAUUUGCCCACUUGUCUCUUUUGUUCUGUCAACUUUCUGCUUCAUGCAGCCCUGUUAUUAGAUGUCCCCGAUUCGAUCGGUGGAAGCCACUUCAAGACAGCUUCUGUAUCCUUCUGACAUGUCCCCAUUAUUCUUUGAGCGCUUCCGUGCAUUUUGGCCCAGGAUGCUCCAGACUCGCCUUGUACUUUCCCUGCCCAGUCCUGGAAUCAGCCAUUCUCUGGGGAUCCCUGCCUUCUUUCUUUGAAACCGUUGUUUAGAAAACAAAAUCUAGGUCUUGCUAAUGAGAUGUAUCCACUCCUGGCUCUGUGUGAA